AUGGCCACUCGCGCCUCGAGUCUGAUCGCCGAUCUUGGACAAAGCUGUGGGGAGCAUCGGUCCCUUCCAAAGUUAGAACUUUUGCAUGGAGAUUGGCUAAAUCUUCCAUCCCUACGGGAGAAGUCCGCAAGAAUAGGAGCACGGAUGAAACACCAGAGUGCACCCUUUGCAAGGUGGCAGUGGAUACGUGGCGUCACUCGUUUUUUGAUUGCAAGAUGGCUAGAGUUGGAGGCGAUCCCCGACAGGAAGGAGCAACCCAGGGACCGAAAUGCAAAAUCCAAGGACCUGCAUGCAAUGCCCAGGGACGUGCAUGUAAUGCCCCAGGAUGAAUCAGUGCAACACGACAAAUCAGUUCAGGCGGUCUGGCUCCCUCCAGCGAAGCAUGACGUGAAGAUUAAUGUUGACGGUGGCCUUUCCAAGGUUGGAGACCGAGGAGCUUCGGCGGUGAUCUGCAUGGAUAGGCAUGGCAUGUUUCUUGGUGCUUCAGUGGUUAUUUUCGAGGGUUUUCUUGACCCAACAACACUCGAAGCCCAGGCGUGCAACGAGGCCCUUGCUCUUGCUACAGACCUCCAUGCUCAAUCCAUGUGUGUUGCUUCGGAUUGCCUCGAGGUGAUCACCAAUAUCCAUACUGGUGUCCCAUGCCGAUAUUUUGCUAUUUUGGAGGAGAUCAGGCAUAUGAGGCAUUCUAUCCAAGAUAUUCAGUUUGUGCACGAGAAUAGAAGACAUAAUGAGGAAGCUCAUGCCUUAGCUAAGGCGGCUGCUUCUCUCCCUCCUGGGUGCCAUGUUUGGCUUACAACUCUGCCCAAUAUCAUCUGUAUCCCUAUGUGUUUGAACAUUCAAUAA
rnacentral:rRNA from 1 species